UACCUAUUCUCAAUUUAUCGUGUAGAGCUUUAGUUUUUAAUUCGCGACAUUUUUUAAACUAAACAAACAAUUUUCUCUGCAGGCAAAGGGCCCUUCAGGGAUGGUGCCCUUCCACGGCUCCGGCAAAAAGCAAUUGCUUGAUGCUUGUGCUGAUGGCAAAAUUACCACCCGAUCGGCGGAAAUGGCAGUGGAAAACAAGCCGUCGGAAAGGUGCUGUGACCCUCAAUACACGAGGAGGAAGAUCACUGGAAAAUGAUCCGCAACAAGCGGUUGAUAUCGCGGAGUCCGGGAGGAUCUGUCGUCUGGCGGAUUUGGUGUAUGCUUCUGGUCAUCCAUGGCGUCCACGAAUUUUGGCAUCACGCACCACUCGCAGCAGGUCGGUCGGAGCUGCUCUCAAAGCCAAUCGGGAAACCAUCAGCUACCCGACACCGUCGUCAUGAACGAGCUUAAGCCUCGGGAAUUGGCCUGAAAAUAAAUACUACAGCAGGCGAAGCCCGGAUUCCGAUCGAGGUGCAAGCUUUUUAAAAAUUGUGAAAAAUAGCUUUGUGAAAAUUUGUGGUAAGGAAGAAAAUGUGAAAAUGAAAGUGUACAACAUUAAUAAAAUGUGU